CUUACACAUGCAAGUCGAACGGUUGUAGCAAUACAGCAGUGGCAGACGGGUGAGUAACACGUGGGAACCUUCCUAGGGGUACGGAACAACUCAGGAAACUUGAGCUAAUACCGUAUACGUCCGUGAGGAGAAAGAUUUAUCGCCCCUAGACGGGCCCGCGUAGGAUUAGGUAGUUGGUGAGGUAACGGCUCACCAAGCCUACGAUCCUUAGCUGAUCUGAGAGGAUGAUCAGCCACACUGGGACUGAGACACGGCCCAGACUCCUACGGGAGGCAGCAGUGGGGAAUCUUGGACAAUGGGCGCAAGCCUGAUCCAGCCAUGCCGCGUGAGUGAAGAAGGCCUUCGGGUUGUAAAGCUCUUUUACCAGGGACGAUAAUGACGGUACCUGGAGAAUAAGCCCCGGCAAACUUCGUGCCAGCAGCCGCGGUAAUACGAAGGGGGCUAGCGUUGUUCGGAAUUACUGGGCGUAAAGCGCACGUAGGCGGAUUGUAAGGUCAGAGGUGAAAUCCCGGAGCUCACUUCGGAACUGGCUUUGAUACUUGGCAAUCUAGAGUCCGGAAAGAGGUUAAUUGGAAUUCCCAGUGUAAAGGUGAAAUUCGUAGAUUUGGGGAAGAACACCAAGUGGCGAAGGCGGGUAACUGGUCCGGUACUGACGCUUGAGUGGCGAAAAGCGUUGGGGAAGGCAAAACCAGGGGAUUUAGGAAU
rnacentral:rRNA from 1 species